AGCCGGCGGGUGAAUAUACUAAAAGUGGUCUGGGGUAUUACUUUUAAUUAAAACACUGCAUUGUCGCAAAUAUUUUAAUAGCCUCUUUAUUAAGCUAUAUGAGCGUUGAUUGCCAUUAUGAAUGUAUAUGCAAUAUAUUGCAUUAGAAAAUGGUAAUUAUAUUGCCAUUUGGUACUGUCGUAUAAAAUACUAAAACUUCCAAUGCUACCCAUCAGCUAUCAUAAGUAACUUGGCAGCAUUGCGUAUCGUGUUCAUUUGAAAUUUCGAAACACAAAACUUUAUAAAUAAAUCCAAUCGAAAUUAGCUCGGGAUGAAAAUGCCUGAAGGAGUUUCGAUUGCUCUUGCAGACCGCGCUUGAAUGACAAAAUGCAUUAGUUGGUUUCGAAAUAUUAAUGAUUGGCUAACAAUUAUGAUACAUUAUUUAUACACAAUUAAAAAAGGCAUCGCUGAUUUGCACUACACAAA